UACGGAGGAUGCAAGCGUUAUCCGGAUUCAUUGGGUUUAAAGGGUGCGCAGGCGGAUUGAUAAGUCAGGGGUGAAAUCCCACAGCUCAACUGUGGAACUGCCCUUGAUACUGUUAGUCUAGAGUAUAGUUGAAGUGGGCGGAAUGUGUCAUGUAGCGGUGAAAUGCUUAGAUAUGACACAGAACUCCGAUAGCGAAGGCAGCUCACUAAACUAUAACUGACGCUGAGGCACGAAAGCGUGGGGAUCAAACAGG
rnacentral:rRNA from 1 species